GACGAACGCUGGCGGCGUGCUUAACACAUGCCAGUCGAACGGAAAGGCCCUGCUUUUGUAGGGUGCUCGAGUGGCGAACGGGUGAGUAACACGUGAGUAACCUGCCCUUGACUUUGGGAUAACUUCAGGAACCUGGGGCUAAUACCGGAUAGGAGCUCCUGCUGCAUGGUGGGGGUUGGAAAGUUUCGGCGGUUGGGGAUGGACUCGCGGCUUAUCAGCUUGUUGGUGGGGUAGUGGCUUACCAAGGCUUUGACGGGUAGCCGGCCUGAGAGGGUGACCGGCCACAUUGGGACUGAGAUACGGCCCAGACUCCUACGGGAGGCAGCAGUGGGGAAUAUUGCACAAUGGGCGGAAGCCUGAUGCAGCAACGCCGCGUGCGGGAUGACGGCCUUCGGGUUGUAAACCGCUUUCGCCUGUGACGAAGCGUGAGUGACGGUAAUGGGUAAAGAAGCACCGGCUAACUACGUG
rnacentral:rRNA from 1 species